rnacentral:rRNA from 1 species
UACGAAGGGGGCUAGCGUUGUUCGGAAUUACUGGGCGUAAAGCGUAUGCAGGCGGAUCGUUAAGUCGGGGGUGAAAUCCCGAGGCUCAACCUCGGAACUGCCUUCGAUACUGGCGACCUUCGAGUCCGGGAGAGGUGAGUGGAACUCCGAGUGUAGAGGUGAAAUUCGUAGAUAUUCGGAAGAACACCAGUGGCGAAGGCGGCUCACUGGCCCGGUACUGACGCUGAGACGCGAAAGCGUGGGGAGCGAACCGG